UUGGUUAGUUGAAUUUUCUAACAUUUCUUUGUCGGCAUAAAGACUUUUUGAAUCAAACAAAACCACCGAAAACGUUAACUCUGGAAGCCACUUUUUUCUCCUUUUUUUUAAAUAUUGAACUGGGAUUUUUCCUUUAUAAAUACUAACCAAACCAGUUGGAAAUUUCCAAGUUUCAAUUUCUUUUGGUUUUGAUCUCCUUUCCCUCCUUGCUUUUUAGUUUUUGCUGUGUUUCAGACCUGGGAACUCAAGCUCCUUCUGACAAAAAUUAUGCCAAGAACAACAACAGUGUAAGUUAAUUUCUCUAACUUCACUGGUUGUCACCGUUGUUUGUGAUAAAAAAUUUUAAAAGAAAAUCAAAAUUUUAAAAGCAAAUUUGACUUGAAAGGUUCAAUCCAAAUUUUUUUGUGUUUAUGUUUUUUUUUUGUUUUUUUAUUGACGCUAAUAUUCUCAUUUUAAGAGGUUGAGUUUUUCUUGCUUGAUUUAUAUUUGUUUAGUUUGUUUUGUCUUGAAUUUUUUUGUUUGAUAAAAAAAAAAAAUUUUUGAAUCUGACUUUUUUUUAGCAAGAUUUUUGAGUUUUUUUUUAGUUAAUGGAUCCCCUUUUUGUGUAGAUGAUGAACUCUGUUUAUAGAAUUUUUUGAGAUUUAAAUUUUAAAUUUUUUAGGAUUUAAAUAUCAUAUUAUCAAUCAAUUUAAAAUUUUAGUGACCGAAAUUCAUGUUGUGCAAAAUAUCGUACGACCAUCGUAGGUAGGGUCGAUAAUUCAAUCCAUCUCCGACUGGUUCUUACCCAACCCGAUCCUAUGGGAUCAAUUUUUUUUUUUUUGAAAUUCAAAUUUCGAAUCAGAUCGAGUAAGAUUAGAAAAUAAUUGAAGUCAAGUCGGGUUCGAGUUUUAGGUAAACCCGACUCAAUCCGACCCGAUAUUAUAUAAAAAAUUAUUUUUUAAUUAAUUAUUUAAUUUUUAUUUAUAUAUAUUUAUAUAAUGAUAUUUUUUAAAUAUUUAUAUUUAAAAAAUAAUAUUUUAUAUUUUAAAAAUAAUAUUUUAUUAAUUUCGAGUCGGAUUGAAUCAGGUACGAUUUAUAUAAUAUCGGAUUAAAUUCAAAUAUAAAAAAAUUUAAAAAAAAUUUAGAUAAGAUCGAAUUCAAAUUUAAUAACACAUAAAAUCGAAUUAAGUUCGAAACGAAUAAAAUUCGUUCCGAACCCGACCCAAUGACAACUUUAGUAAUAGAUUACAUGGUUGAAAUUUUAGACUUUUAAAAAAAUACAUUUAAUGUAUCAUAUUUUUAUCAAAUUAAAUCGAAUAAAAAAAUAUAAUAAUAAUAAUAAUAAUAAUUGUGUUUACACGGUACGGCAACGAGAAAAUAAAUCGGGUAACAAUACUGUCAGGAUCUUACAUUCAAAUGAAUAAAUAAAUAUAUAAAACAGCCAAAAAAUGAAAAAAUCCAUCGGACGUCAUUUUAUCGAUCUAUUUGUUUUUCUCAUUCGUCUUACCGGAACCCUGGCCGCCACGGCACCUUUCGUUAGGGUGGCAUCCUCUCUGGUAGGUGGAAGCAGGCGGUGGGCAGUUCUCGGGGUGACUAGGGCUGCAUCCCGGAGCCAUACUCUUUCCGAUGGAUCCAUAUCCGAGCGAUGAAGCCUCUUGGGAACCCGCUGCAAGGUGCGCCAAAAGCACCAAAAGCGCCAGCAGAGAUAUAAAGAAAAAAAUUACUCCUUUAAUCAUAGACAUUAAAGGCAGACCGUUCGUGAGAGGCAGGAGACGCUGGAGAUAGAUGAAAUCAAAUCAAAUUAAGUAUUUAUAGAUUGAAAAUAAUUAAUCUAGAACAAUAUUAGAAUGAUCUUAGCCUAUCUAGAAGCAUAUGGUAGCCGUCUAAAUUAGAGACUUCUAUAUAGAUUUAGCUUUUUAAAUAUCAUUUACUAAAAAAGAUGGCAUAAAUUUAUUUAAUUAAAUCUUAAAUUUAAGUAACUAAUCACUUUUUCCUCUAUAUAAAAAGUAUUAAAAUAUCUUUAAAAAAAAGUAUUAAACUAAAAUAUUUUUCUAGCUUGAUGAUAUAAUUUCCACAUUUUUUCUUUAAAUUUAUUUUGAUAAAAAAAAAAAAAAAAGGAAUUUGAUCACCAUGCUUUCAAUAGAGAGACUACAAAAUAGCAUUGGACUCUGAUCACUAUGAUUACUGUAUUUUUGGACUUUUAUUUCAGGGAUGAGAUGACAGUAUUGCUCUAUCUUUUAUUAAUGAAAAUUUAUUAUUGGGUGAGAAAAAAAAAAAAAGAGAUUAAAAAUUUUAAAUUUGUUAGAUGUUAUAUUUUAAAAGUAAUUGUAUGAAUUAAUUAAAUUAAAUUAUAUAUUUAUUAUGUAUUUUUUUUUAUUUUUUUUGCAUUGAUUAGAUAUUGCUUUGACAAAAAUUUUCAACUAUAAUUGGUCCAACUUAACAGAAUAAUUUAAAUAAAUGAGAAAUUAAUAAUAAUGAUUUGGGAUCCGGUGGGUUGUGAUUAUUGAUUCUUUGAGUUGUAAAUCAAUACUACAUUUAAUUUUCAAAUACUUAAUUAUUUGCUUUUGAGUGAUUUUUGGAUCUUUAAGUUUAAACAUACCAUAUGGCAGCCUGUCAAAUUGUGAAUAAUGCACUUGCCUUUUCUUUUUAAUUUUUUAAAAAUUUCAAAUAUUUUAACGUUUUUGUUAUUUAUUUUUUAAAAUAAUAUUUCAAUUGGGGAACUUACAUGUUUUAUUUUAUCUUGGAAUACAGACAAAACCCUCUAAUGUAAGAGUAAUAAAAGUCAAAUGCUUUUGGCUGGUCUGAAAGUAUUAGUAACAACAAACCAUGUGCUAACACGUGAAUCCAUUCCGUAAAUCACUAAAGAUUACUAUAAACAGUAAACAUGACUAUACAGAUAAUUUUUUCUGAGAUAUUUGGUUACAGAAUAUAUGUAAAUGGUUUGAUAAUUACAAGGUUUGAUUGUGACAAAAAUUAAAGCACACGUUAAGCAUUGACUUAAGACUUAUUGACCAGCUGAAACCAAUGGAAAAAGGUAUCACUGUAAAUUAUCUGGAGUUCCUGAAUAGAAAAAUAAUUUCAGUCAACAAAAUUUAAUAUUCCUUCUUACAACUGGUUUCUUCAAUAAUCAAAGUUGAAAACAUGGGAUCAUGAGAAGAAGGUUAAAAGAUUAAUAAAUAAAAUUUCUAAGGGAGGUGUUUCUUCAGCCAAGUAUAUGAAGUAAACUGUACAGUACUGGCUUGUGAUGAAACCAUAGCUAUCAGGGACGUUGGAAAGAAGAACCCAUUGAACCGGAAUCAGGUCUUCAACUUAGGAAAAAGAACCCAUUGAACCAGAAUCAUGUGUUCAACUUAGGAAUCAGGAGGAUUAAGUUAAACCUUAGUAAAUCAAAGUUGCAGAGAUGCAAAAAUGGAUGGAAAUUCAAAAUUAUAUAUCACAGGUAGAGAUUUGUGUUGAAAACUGGUUACAUUUCCAAGUUCUUGUGAUGAGUAAAUGAUUCAAGAGCUAUCGUAUGUUUUCAUGAAAGUUAGAGGCUAUUAAGCCAUCAGGGUUGUUGAGGAAGCAGAAUUACAUAAAAGAAAAACAAAAACCUCACAGAAAACAAUAAGAGCUAAAAACAAAAAAUACAUCAUAGAGAUACAAGAGAAUAAAGCUGAAAGGACAAACUCCAAUGAGUUUGGAUAGCUUUUUAUUAACUUUUUGUUUAACAAAAAUUUUUUAUUAACUUUUUGUUUUUUAAAAAGAAAAAGCAACACAAAACAAAAACACUGCAAUUACAUGCACAAAGGAGAGGUUAGAGAAAUUAACUUACACUGUUGUUCUUGGCAUAAUCUUUGUGAGAAGGAGCUUGAGUUCCCAUGUCUGAAACACAGCAAAAACUACAAAGCAAGGAGGGAAAGGAGAUCAAAACCAAAAGAAAUUGAAACUUGGAAAUUUCCCACUGGUUUGGUUAGUAUUUAUAAAGGAGAAAUCCCAGUCCAAUAGUUAAAAAAAGGAGAAAAAAGUGGCUACAAGAGUUCUGGAAACUGACGUUUUUGGUGGUUUUGUUUGAUUCAAAAAGUCUUUAUGCAGACAAAGAACUGUUAAUAAAUUCAACUAACCAAUUUUUAUUCAUUGGAUUAUUAGCUGGUGCAAGGUCUUUGAAGAAAAUUCCACGAACCUUGAGACCAC
rnacentral:lncRNA from 1 species